CAAGAAAUAACAAUACAAGGCAGUUAAAAUGCUUUGUAAUUGGAAUGAUAGAAAUUUAAAUACUUUUUAAAGUAUCAAUUGGAGGGCAAGUCUGGUGCCAGCAGCCGCGGUAAUUCCAGCUCCAAUAGCGUAUAUUAAAAUUGUUGCAGUUAAAAAGCUCGUAGUUGAAUUUUUGCUAAAAAUAACCGGUCUGCUUUUAUUAAUAAAAGUGGUAUCUUGGUGUGUUCUUAGCAAUAAUGUCCUUUGAAAUGUUUUUUACUUUAUUGUAAGAAGCAAUUUUCAGGAUUUUUACUUUGAGAAAAUUAGAGUGUUUCAAGCAGGCUAACGUUUUGAAUACUGCAGCAUGGAAUAAUAAAAUAGGAUUUUAGUUCUACGUUAUUGGUUUUAAGAACUAAAUUAAUGAUUGAUAGGAGCAGUUGGGGGCAUUUGUAUUUAACUGUCAGAGGUGAAAUUCUUAGAUUUGUUAAAGACACACUACUGCGAAAGCAUUUGCCAAAGAUGUUUUCAUUAAUCAAGAACGAAAGUUAGGGGAUCGAAG
rnacentral:rRNA from 1 species